rnacentral:rRNA from 1 species
AUUGAACGCUGGCGGCAGGCUUAACACAUGCAAGUCGAGCGGGGGAAGGUAGCUUGCUACCGGACCUAGCGGCGGACGGGUGAGUAAUGCUUAGGAAUCUGCCUAUUAGUGGGGGACAACAUCUCGAAAGGGAUGCUAAUACCGCAUACGUCCUACGGGAGAAAGCAGGGGAUCUUCGGACCUUGCGCUAAUAGAUGAGCCUAAGUCGGAUUAGCUAGUUGGUGGGGUAAAGGCCUACCAAGGCGACGAUCUGUAGCGGGUCUGAGAGGAUGAUCCGCCACACUGGGACUGAGACACGGCCCAGACUCCUACGGGAGGCAGCAGUGGGGACUAUUGGACAAUGGGGGGAACCCUGAUCCAGCCAUGCCGCGUGUGUGAAGAAGGCCUUAUGGUUGUAAAGCACUUUAAGCGAGGAGGAGGCUACUUUAGUUAAUACCUAGAGAUAGUGGACGUUACUCGCAGAAUAAGCACCGGCUAACUCUGUGCCAGCAGCCGCGGUAAUACAGAGGGUGCGAGCGUUAAUCGGAUUUACUGGGCGUAAAGCGUGCGUAGGCGGCUUAUUAAGUCGGAUGUGAAAUCCCCGAGCUUAACUUGGGAAUUGCAUUCGAUACUGGUGAGCUAGAGUAUGGGAGAGGAUGGUAGAAUUCCAGGUGUAGCGGUGAAAUGCGUAGAGAUCUGGAGGAAUACCGAUGGCGAAAGCAGCCAUCUGGCCUAAUACUGACGCUGAGGUACGAAAGCAUGGGGAGCAAA